rnacentral:rRNA from 1 species
UACAGAGGGUGCAAGCGUUAAUCGGAAUUACUGGGCGUAAAGCGUGCGUAGACGGUUGCGUAAGUCAGAUGUGAAAGCCCCGGGCUCAACCUAGGAAUUGCAUUUGAGACUGCGUAGCUAGGGUGCGGAAGAGGGAAGCGGAAUUUCCGGUGUAGCGGUGAAAUGCGUAGAUAUCGGAAGGAACACCAGUGGCGAAAGCGGCUUCCUGGUCCAGCACCGACGUUCAGGCACGAAAGCGUGGGGAGCAAACAGG